rnacentral:rRNA from 1 species
GACAGAGGGUGCAAACGUUGCUCGGAAUUACUGGGCGUAAAGCGCGUGUAGGUGGAUUGGUGUGUCAGAUGUGAAAGCCCUGGGCUCAACCCAGGAACUGCACCUGAAACUACCAGUCUUGAGUGGUGGAGAGGGAAGUGGAAUUCCUGGUGUAGAGGUGAAAUUCGUAGAUAUCAGGAGGAACACCAGUGGCGAAGGCGGCUUCCUGGACACUAACUGACGCUGAGACGCGAAAGCGUGGGGAGCAACAGG